GUCUCUAAGCAUCCUAAAAGUAAGGAGCGAAGAGAAAAACAAACGUUACGAGCAACUCUAGGCUCAAACAUUAACCACCACAAGCAAAGGGGCAAAACUCACCUAGGGAGUAGAAAAUCUCUCUCAAGCUCCAAAAGAGAGCUAGAUCCCUUCCAAUCCAACCUAAAGGAAGAUUCUAAACCAAGUAAUUGAGCCUCAAAAGCCCUAGAUCAAAAAGCCCCAAAAU
rnacentral:lncRNA from 1 species